UACGUAGGCAGCAAGCGUUGUUCGGAGUUACUGGGCGUAAAGGGUGUGUAGGCGGUUGUUUAAGUUUGGUGUGAAAUCUCCCGGGCUCAACUGGGAGGGUGCGCCGAAUACUGAAUGACUAGAGUGCGGGAGAGGAAAGUGGAAUUCCUGGUGUAGCGGUGAAAUGCGUAGAUAUCAGGAGGAACACCGGUGGUGUAGACGGCUUUCUGGACCGUAACUGACGCUGAGACACGAAAGCGUGGGUAGCAAACAGG
rnacentral:rRNA from 1 species